AGAGAAAACAAUGAGCUCAACACAGAAGGACCAACAUGGAGCGAGAAGUCAGCGCUCUCAGGAGGCCGACAAACCUCACAGAAGAAAGAGAGAGAAAACAUACACCUGUGAUGAGUGUGGGAAGGAUUUUACUGGGAAGGGUAAUCUAAAACAGCAUCAGGUCAUCCACACUGGAGAGAGACCGUUCAGCUGUGACUUGUGUGGAAAGACUUUUUCCUUGAAGGGUCACCUAAAAAAACACCAACUCAUCCACAGUGGAGUUAAAGCGUACAGCUGUGAUCAGUGUGGCAGAGCUUUUACUCAAAGUGGCCACUUACAGAGUCAUCUAGUUACCCACUCUGGAAUUAAGGCAUACAGCUGUGACGAGUGUGGGAAGGAUUUUACUCAAAGUGGCCAAUUACAGAGGCAUCUAGUUACCCACUCUGGAAUUAAGGCAUACAGCUGUGACGAGUGUGGGAAGGAUUUUACUCAAAGUGGCCAAUUACAGAGGCAUCUAGUUACCCACUCUGGAAUUAAGGCAUACACCUGUGACGAGUGUGGGAAGGGUUUUACUGGGAAGGCUUCACUAAAACAGCAUCAGGUCAUCCACACUGGAGAGAGACCGUUCAGCUGUGACUUGUGUGGAAAGUCUUUUUCCAGGAAGGAUUACCUAAAACAACACCAACUUAUCCACAGUGGAGUUAAAGCGUACAGCUGUGAUCAGUGUGGCAGAGCUUUUACUCAAAGUAGCAGCUUACAGAAUCAUCUAGUUACCCACUCUGGAAUUAAGGCAUACAGCUGUGACAUCUGUGGAAAAACUUUCAGCCAGAGAUGGUACCGAAAUAGACACCUACGCAUUCACACCAGACAUGAUGUGUACUGCUGUGAACAGUGUGGCAAAUACUUUGCUACAGACGCACAGUUACAAUGCCACAUGUUUACCCACACUGAGGGACGACCUUAUAAAUGUGACCUGUGUGAGAAGACUUUUAAAUCUCCACAUUACCUGAGACAACACCAACAGAUCCACACCAGAAAGAGACUCUACAAGUGCAGUUACUGUGAGAAGCAGAGCGACACAGAUGGAUCCAGUUCUCAACCCUGUCAUCACUGUGGUGGUGGGAAAGACUUUCAUUGUGACCUCUGUGGAAAAACUUUCAGUUGGCAAGCCGCCCUAAAAAGACAUCAACGUAGACACACUGGAGACAAACUGAAAUACUGCAAAGAAUGUGGGAGAAGCUUCACCACAUCACGUGACUUAAAACAACAUGAACUGAUUCACAGUGGGGUUAAAAAGCACCUCUGUGAUCAGUGUGGGUCAUCCUUCACCACUGUAAGUGAGCUUAAAAGACACAAACGAGUCCACACAGGAGAGAAACCAUACAAGUGCAGACACUGUGACAAAAGCUUCUCAUGUUCAAGUAGUCGUAACAAGCAUGAACGUACACACAUGGAAGGAAACUACAGCUGUGACCAGUGUGACAAGAGCUUCAGGAA